rnacentral:sRNA from 10 species
UUGAUUUUCAAGGAAUCAAGCCAUUAAAGGUGGUGAGCAUUCUGGCAAGAGUAAAGAGGUAGUAUCCGAGGAUCAAGAAUCAGAGUAUCCCGAAUUCGAUUCCCAUUACAGGGAAGCGAGAAAACUGAUGUUAAGCCUUGCGAGGUUUCAAU